rnacentral:tRNA from 1 species
GUUCGGACUCUUAAUCCGUCGGUCGAGAGUUCGAGCCUCUCACAACCCACCA